rnacentral:rRNA from 1 species
GAUGAACGCUAGCGGGAGGCUUAAUACAUGCAAGUCGAGGGGCAGCAUGACCGAACCUAGUUUGGUUGAUGGCGACCGGCGAACGGGUGAGUAACGCGUACGCAACUUACCUCCAAGUAGGGGAUAGCCCUGGGAAACUGGGAUUAAUACCCUAUAGUAUUCGAGAAUGGCAUCAUUUUCGGAUUAAAGCGUUAGUGCUUGGAGAUAGGCGUGCGUUCUAUUAGAUAGUUGGUGAGGUAACGGCUCACCAAGUCAGCGAUAGAUAGGGGGCGUGAGAGCGUGAUCCCCCACACGGGUACUGAGACACGGACCCGACUCCUACGGGAGGCAGCAGUAAGGAAUAUUGGACAAUGGGGGCAACCCUGAUCCAGCCAUCCCGCGUGUAGGAUGACAGCCCUAUGGGUUGUAAACUACUUUUAUAUGGGAAGAAACCCUUUCAUUUAUGGGAGGCUGACGGUACCAUAAGAAUAAGCACCGGCUAAUUCCG